rnacentral:misc_RNA from 1 species
AACGCAUAUUGCGCUCCUUGGUAUUCCGAGGAGCAUGCCUGUUCGAGCGUCAUUACAACCCUCAAGCCCUGCUUGGCAUUGGGUAGCAUCAGUGAUGAUGUGCCCUAAAAUCAGUGGCAGCGCUGCUCAGCUCUAAGCGUAGUAAGGAUCUCGCUACAGAUGCCCAGCAAACGCUUGCAAUAGCCUUAGAAUCUUCAAGGUUGACCUCGGAUCAGGUAGGGAUACCCGCUGAACUUAA